UUUAACGGCCGCGGUACCCUAACCGUGCGAAGGUAGCAUAAUCACUUGUUCUUUAAAUAGGGACUAGUAUCAACGGCAUCACGAGGGUUACACUGUCUCCUCCCCUCAAUCAGUGAAACUGAUCUCCCCGUGAAGAAGCGGGGAUAGAAUUAUAAGACGAGAAGACCCCAUGGAGCUUUAAGCUCAACAACACCUCCCCACGAAUACAUCAUUAUAACUUACGAGCCCUGUUUGUUAGCUUUCGGUUGGGGUGACCGCGGAGUAUAAUAUAACCUCCACGACGAAUAGGCCUAAAACCUUAAUCCAAGAGCCACUGCUCUAAGAAUCAUAAAAUUGACGUAAAAUGAUCCGAUUUUUCGAUCAACGAACCAAGUUACCCUGGGGAUAACAGCGCAAUCCAUUUCAAGAGCUCCUAUCGACAAAUGGGUUUACGACCUCGAUGUUGGAUCAGGGUAUCCUAGUGGUGCAGCCGCUACUAAUGGUUCGUUUGUUCAACGAUUAAAACCCUACGUGAUCUGUUUGUUCAACGAUUAAAACCCUACGUGAUCUGUUUGUUCAACGAUUAAAACCCUACGUGAUCUG
rnacentral:rRNA from 1 species